UACGUAGGUGGCGAGCGUUGUCCGGAUUUACUGGGCGUAAAGAGCGCGCAGGCGGUCAUUCAAGUCGAGUGUGAAAGCCCCCGGCUCAACUGGGGAGGGUCAUUCGAUACUGAUCGACUCGAAGGCAGGAGAGGGUAGUGGAAUUCCCGGUGUAGUGGUGAAAUGCGUAGAUAUCGGGAGGAACACCAGUGGCGAAGGCGACUACCUGGCCUGUUCUUGACGCUGAGGCGCGAAAGCUAGGGGAGCAAACGGG
rnacentral:rRNA from 1 species